rnacentral:lncRNA from 1 species
UUGCAUAUACUAUCGAUUUCUCCAGUCCCUGGGAUUUGAAUUUUUUUUAGGAAAACAUGACUUCCACAAGGGAUGCUAUGUACAAUGAAAAGAAGCCUCUCCUUUUCUUUGGAGCAACUGCCCGAGUGAAAAGCAAACAGCCCGCCACGUUGCUUACCCUCUCCACACUGCGUCUUCUCAGAGAUCCAUACGGAAUUUUCAGUAGGAGUCUCUGGGAUCUAUUUGGAGCCACUGCAGCUUGAACCACCAUGGUGUAGAGCCGUGGGUGAGUGUGUCUGCGUGAGUGUGAGUGUGUGUGUGUGUGUGUGUGUAUCUGUUCCCAGCAAAGAGAGAGAUGGAGGAGUCCUCAAAGCUAAGUUAUGGUCUCCUGGAGGUUUCCCAAAUAUCAAAUAACUGAAAGAGGUUUUUUUUUUUUUUCUUUCGACCGUAUGAGUCAAGAUGUGGUGUGUCUGGAGGUGGGGGAUGGGGAAGAAAAAAAAAAGAGCCCAAGUUCUGCAACUUCAGCGCACCGCCCGCCCGCAGCUCAGCCCCACUCCCUCCUGCCGGCCCCUGCCUGUCAGUCCCUCGGUGAGACUGCACGUCCCAGGAGUGGGCCAGUGAGUGACGCUUCUUGGGGGAGUGAUCCUGAAAUGUCAACUUUGCUUCCCGCGGCUCCAGACGGUAACCAGGCAAGCACCAGAGCAGAAGAUGUCAGCCACCAGGACUCAGCACCAGCAGAAGUCCUGCCAUGUAGCUGCAUCUUUUAAACGGGUAGAGUUAAAACUCCACCUGCCCUGAAGGACCCCAAAGUGCCAGCUCGGGGUCCUGAUACCAUCCCACAGACGUCACUGUGAUGGUAUACAUCUCAUUGAGGAAACGAAUACACUUCAGUCAUUGACCAAAGCCUCAAGGCCACCUGAGAAGGAUCUGACGCUCACCACUGCGCUGAAGCUCGUCAACUGAGAACAAUUAAUAAGCAACACAUCUAAUAUAGUAGGCAAAUGCUAGAAUCUGCUCUGCAUAUUUAAAUCAUAACAUUGGUCGGUAUUUUUAAAAAUUUCGAGUUUCUUUCUCUUUGAAUCUCAUUGACCAUUUACUUCUCCCAAAGUCCAUGAAAAACCUCCUUCAGCAGCCUCAGUAUUUUGGUGACAGGACUUAGAUGAAAGAAAAGUCCUUGGAAGAUGGACAGGCAGGAUUCCUUGAACAGACAUGAAACCAAUCUCCCUUCAGACCUCCCUAGGGAAGCUAUGGCAAACCAGUCUUUGAGACAGAACCAUGUUAUUCUGCAGCUUUGAAACAAAUCAUCCACUUCUAGAGCUUGAGCAUUGUGCAGAGGUGAGGUUCUCUUGUGGUUCAAGUUAUAUUGGACAUUUUCUAUUACGUACAAUGGUGUGCAAGCAAGGGGCUUUCCAAUUGGCACUUGGUAAAGAAUCCGCCUGCCAAUGCAGGAGAGCCGGGUUCAAUCCCCAGGUCGGGAAGAUCCCCUGGAGAAGGGAAUCUCUACCUAACUCCAGUGUUCUUCCCAGGGAAAUCCUGUGGACAGAGGAGUCUGGCACGUUACAGUCCACUGGGUUGCAAAGAGUCGGACAUGACUGAGCGACUAACACUUUCACUUUUUCAGAUUGAUGUACUUGUCUGUCAAGUUUCUGCCUUACCUUAAAACUAGAAAGAGAGGGAUUUUAAGAAUAUGCAUGCUUAAGUAAAACAGGCUCUUUUGAUGGCCUACAGACAGCUGCCUGUCUGGGUCGAGUAAUAAAGGCUCGCCUGACUGCUCCAGCUGUCUCUCAGAGAACAGACAUGUUAAUUUAAAGGUUUGCCUGUAUAGGGCCUGUGGCAGGCUGGCACUGCUGUGGCUCAGGGCAGGGGCCUCUAUCAGCAGACCAUGCCCACAGUGUCUGCCUCAUUUCAUUUGUCAGAUAGCUUACACAAGCAACCUUGUCUUCCCUACUCACCAAGUGUUUUCAAUUCUGGCAGCCUCUCUGGCAAAUACAAGGGCUCUAUUUCUCCGCAUCUGUCCUCUCUACCCCGCUCUGGCCCUGCCUCCCAUACCCGUAUCCCCUACUCGAUCACAAGGAUGAAGUUCAAGGCUUUCCAAACCAAUCGGCAGUGAAACUCGUGUCAGGCACAUGCAGUGGUGCUCUGGGCUGAUGAUGGAGAGAACACAUAAAUAUUUGUCUGAUUUCUUUCAGUCCUGCCACCUGUCACUUGCUCUACCAUUUGGAGUAAAAGAAGCUUGUAGAGAUUCCAAGUUCACCCCCUGCAGCACACCUUGGGAUGUGCCGAGGAUAAUCAUUCCAACUCCACCACCCAUACCUUUCAGGGCAUCUUGCUUUCUGGAGUUUGUUUUGACUGUGGCAGGCUGGCCUCUCGUUAGUGGAUCUCUCUUAAGAGUUCACAGUGAAGCACUUCACACAGUCAGAAUGGCCAUCAUCAAAAAGUACACAAAUGAUAAAUGCUGGAGAGGGUGUGGAGAAAAGGGGAACGUUCCUACACUGUUGGUGGGAAUUUAAAUUAGUAUGACCACUAUGGGGAACAGUAU